AAACACCCAUGAAAAUACAGACUGUCUGUUGGGGUUACGUUCAAUAUCACGGCUGUCGGGAUCCCGGCAACAAAAAUACCGUCACUGUAAACCUGACACCAUUCAGAACACUGAUGCCGGAUUCCGAAGAACAUCAGGAUCCUGAUGCUGGAAUCCCAACAACCAGGAUCCUGAAGGUCUGGCUGGGAUGUAUGUACUUGAGGAUGCACUGACAGAAAACUGCCUAGCCUGGCCAAAUGGAGAGGUGUGGUGACAUCAUCAGUGGACAACAUCCAUGGGACCCAGCGGCCGGCAUUCCACAUGGGGGUGAUGGUGUGUUAAAAGGCAUUGCUGAAACUGCUAAACUGCAACCAAUUUAUAUGAAACUUAUUGGAAGAGCUACAAUAUAUAACUCCACAUCACACUACUGUGAAAGCUGCCAUACAAGAUACUCAGAAGCUGUCCCUGCUGUUAUGAUGAUGUGAUCUAAAGAAACAUUGCUGUCACAAUAUUGAGUCAAAAAGACUUUCAAAAACUAUUGAGCAAGGACUAUGAACAUUAUCACGAUCUCAUCUUCAGAAAACGCUUCUCCUUUAUGAACUUUCUCUUGUGGUUAGGGAUAAGAGGAUAGGGAACAAUGGUUCUACCCGAGUAUAGGGAUGUUGAAUGGACUAGCCCAUGCCUGGAGUGCCCCUAUGGUACACCAGUCGUGAAAGUAGGUGUCCCUAUAGAAUCAGUGACCAGGUAAAGGAAGGGUAAAAUAAAAUUAGAAUCAAAGAGGGGAAGUUGAUAAAGAUGGAAGCCAUAUUUGUUCAUAGGACUCCAUUUUAUAAUUGACAUCUUACAAGCUGUUUCCAAAUUGUUAUUCUCCAGCUUAGAAUUGACACAGGAAAGAGUGUAGACCUGUACUUUGUUUGAACCCACAUUGUGAAGUUAUGACCUUUAUCUAAGAUAUAUUUUACGGUAAUUUCCUAGCAGAAAUAUAAUGUCAGCAGCUAGACAUGUGAGCUUCAAAGGGUAUUUGUCAGUUUGCGGUACAGCAGGUGUAAAAAUAUAACCAGACAUAUGUAGGUUUCGAGGUUAGCAAAAACCCCCUAGUUAUUCCACUUAAGAGCAUAUAUAAAAAAUAUAGAUGUUGGCAAACAUAUUACGUAUAAGAUAGAAGUUUUAUUAGCCAAUAGGAUUAAGCUUCGUGUCAGGAAACGACGACACGAUAUGUUAAUUGGUAUCACUUUAUAAUGUACUGCUAG